rnacentral:snRNA from 2 species
GUCCCUUCGGGGACAUCUGAUAAAAUUGGAACGAUACAGAGAAGAUUAACAUGGCCCCUGCACAAGGAUGACACGCACAAAUCGAGAAAUGGUCCAAAUUUUU